rnacentral:rRNA from 1 species
UACGUAGGGGGCGAGCGUUGUCCGGAUUUACUGGGCGUAAAGAGCGUGUAGGCGGUCCGGUAAGUCUGUCGUGAAAUCCUGAGGCUCAACCUCGGGCGUGCGAUGGAUACUGCCGGGCUAGAGGGUGGUAGAGGCGAGUGGAAUUCCCGGUGUAGCGGUGAAAUGCGCAGAUAUCGGGAGGAACACCAGUAGCGAAGGCGACUCGCUGGGCCACACCUGACGCUGAGACGCGAAAGCUAGGGGAGCAAACAGG